GAUGAACGCUAGCGGCAGGCCCAACACAUGCAAGUCGAGGGGUAGGGUUAGCUUGCUAACUUGAGACCGGCGCACGGGUGCGUAACGCGUAUGCAAUCUACCUUGUACAGAGGGAUAGCCCAGAGAAAUUUGGAUUAAUACCUCAUAGUAUCUUUACCUGGCAUCGGGUAAUUAUUAAAGUUCCAACGGUACAAGAUGAGCAUGCGUCCCAUUAGUUAGUUGGUAAGGUAACGGCUUACCAAGACAAUGAUGGGUAGGGGUCCUGAGAGGGAGAUCCCCCACACUGGUACUGAGACACGGACCAGACUCCUACGGGAGGCAGCAGUGAGGAAUAUUGGUCAAUGGACGCAAGUCUGAACCAGCCAUGCCGCGUGCAGGAAGACGGUCCUAUGGAUUGUAAACUGCUUUUAUACAGGAAGAAACAACUCUACGUGUAGAGUCUUGACGGUACUGUAGGAAUAAGGAUCGGCUAACUCCGUGCCAGCAGCCGCGGUAAAAGUAGACG
rnacentral:rRNA from 1 species